rnacentral:rRNA from 1 species
GACGAACGCUGGCGGCGUGCUUAACACAUGCAAGUCGAACGAAGUGGCGAACGGGUGAGUAACGCGUAAUCAACCUGCCCUUCAGAGGGGGACAACAGUUGGAAACGACUGCUAAUACCGCAUACUUAAGGAGGGGAUUGCGUCUGAUUAGCUAGUUGGAGGGGUAACGGCCCACCAAGGCGAUGCUCAGUAGCCGGUCUGGGAAGAUGAACGGCCACAAUGGGAAUGGGACACGGCCCAGACUCCUACGGGAGGCAGCAAUGGGGAAUCUUCCGCAAUGGACGAAAGUCUUACGGGGCAACGCCGCGUGAGUGAUGACGGCCUUCGGGUUGUAAAGCUCUGUUAAUCAGGACGCGGUACCGGAAUAGAAAGCCACGGCUAACUACGUGCCAGCAGCCGCGGUAAUUC